UUCGGGGCAGCGGUGACAGGUGGUGCAUGGUUGUCGUCAGUUCGUGUCGUGAGAUGUUGGGUUAAGUCCCGCAACGAGCGCAACCCUUAUCUUUAGUUGCCAGCAUUCAGUUGGGCACUCUAGAGAGACUGCCGUCGACAAGACGGAGGAAGGCGGGGAUGACGUCAAAUCAUCAUGCCCCUUAUGACCUGGGCUACACACGUGCUACAAUGGUUGGUACAACGGGAUGCUACCUCGCGAGAGGACGCCAAUCUCUUAAAACCAAUCUCAGUUCGGAUUGUAGGCUGCAACUCGCCUACAUGAAGUCGGAAUCGCUAGUAAUCGCGGAUCAGCAUGCCGCGGUGAAUACGUUCCCGGGUCUUGUACACACC
rnacentral:rRNA from 1 species